rnacentral:rRNA from 1 species
GCCCGCUCAGAAACGUUAAAGAAGUUGACGGGACCGCACAAGCAGCGAGCGUGUGGUUUAAUUCGUUGCUACACGAAGAACCUUACCUAGGUUUGACAUAUAGGUUGUAGGGAACUGAAAAGGACCGACCCUUCGGGGAGCCUAUACAGGUGUUGCAUGGCUGUCGUCAGCUCGUGUCGUGAGAUGUUCGGUUAAGUCCGCUAACGAGCGCAACCCUCGUCGUAUGUUACAAGUGUCAUACGAGACUGCCGGUAAAAAGUCGGAGGAAGGUGAGGAUGAUGUCAAGUCAGCAUGACCUUUAUAUCUAGGGCUACACACACGCUACAAUGGUCUGUACAAUGGGUUGCCAAGCCGCGAGGCGGAGCCAAUCCUAAAAAGCAGGCCUCAGUUCAGAUUGCAGUCUGCAACCCGACUGCAUGAAGCCGGAGUUGCUAGUAACCGCAGGUCAGCAAUACUGCGGUGAAUACGUUCCCGGGUCUU